UACGGAGGGGGCUAGCGUUGUUCGGAAUUACUGGGCGUAAAGCGCACGUAGGCGGCUUUGUAAGUCAGAGGUGAAAUCCCGGGGCUCAACUCCGGAACUGCCUUUGAGACUGCAUCGCUUGAAUCCAGGAGAGGUGAGUGGAAUUCCGAGUGUAGAGGUGAAAUUCGUAGAUAUUGGGAAGAACACCAGUGGCGAAGGCGGCUCACUGGCCCGUAACUGACGCUGAGGUG
rnacentral:rRNA from 1 species